GCUCAUCCCACGUGUUGGCUGUGGCCUGGCGUGGCAGAGCGUUUUGUUUGGCGUGGCUGUGACUUCUUUCAGUCGGACGUAAUAGCUGUUGUUUGUGGCAGCCGUUGAGGCACCUGUUUCCACGCCUUCAGGUGCCGGGGGCCUGAGGCGGCAGUUGAUCCCUGGCGGUGGUGUUCUUCACGACUCCUUUUUGUUGGUGUGCGGUGUCAGGGGUGGCUAGUUUUAUGGAUCGUCCCUUUUUGAUUUUCCCUGCUGAUUUUCCGUGCAGUUGAAGGCGGUGAUGGAAAAGUGGACGUGAUCCGCCUGGGGGUUGUAACAAAUGGCGUAGCCGUCAGGAACAAGAGGCCCAAAGCACAUCACGCUGUCUGUGUUCGCAGGCACCUGAAGGGACCAGAGAGGGAGAGAGAGGAGAAUGUGACUGACAAAAAACCUCACAACAACCUUUUCCAAUGACGGAACACACCUGCCCUGUUCGGAGUUUCAAGUGUGUUGCCAGCCCGUACGCUGUAUCCAUGAAGAUUUUGGGAAUGCUCAGUCCCUCCGCGAUGGCCUGCAGCUUGAGCCCCAGCAGGUGGCGGUCAAUGCCGUGUCC